rnacentral:rRNA from 1 species
UGGGGAAUAUUGCACAAUGGGCGCAAGCCUGAUGCAGCCAUGCCGCGUGUGUGAAGAAGGCCUCGGGUUGUAAAGCACUUCAGCGAGGAGGAAGGUGGUGAGCUUAAUACGCUCAUCAAUUGACGUUACUCGCAGAAGAAGCACCGGCUAACUCCGUGCCAGCAGCCGCGGUAAUACGGAGGGUGCAAGCGUUAAUCGGAAUUACUGGGCGUAAAGCGCACGCAGGCGGUUUGUUAAGUCAGNUGUGAAAUCCCCGGGCUCAACCUGGGAACUGCAUUUGAAAACUGGCAAGCUAGAGUCUCGUAGAGGGGGGUAGAAUUCCAGGUGUAGCGGUGAAAUGCGUAGAGAUCUGGAGGAAUACCGGUGGCGAAGGCGGCCCCCUGGACGAAGACUGACGCUCAGGUGCGAAAAGCGUGGGGCAGCAAACAGGAUUAGAUACCCUGGUAGUCCACGCUGUAAAACGAUGUCGAUUGCUGGUAGGUUG